rnacentral:rRNA from 1 species
AGCGAACGCUGGCGGCAGGCCUAACACAUGCAAGUCGAACGGGCUCUUCGGAGCUAGUGGCGGACGGGUGAGUAACACGUGGGAACGUGCCUUUAGGUUCGGAAUAAGCCCGGGAAACUGGGUCUAAUACCGAAUGUGCCCUUCGGGGGAAAGAUUUAUCGCCUUUAGAGCGGCCCGCGUCUGAUUGGCUUUUUGGUGAGGUAAUGGCUCACCAAGGCGACGAUCAGUAACUGGGCUGAGAGGAUGACCAGCCACAUUGGUACUGAGACACGGCCCAAACUCCUACGUGAGGCCGCAGUGGGGUUCUUGCGGAAUGGGCGAAAGCCUGACGCAGCCAUGCCGCGUGGAUGAUGAAGGUCUUAGGAUUGUAAAAUCCUUUCACCGGUGAAGAUAAUGACUGUAGCCGGAGAAGAAGCCCCGGCUAACUUCGUGCCAGCAGCCGCCGUAAAAC